CGCUCUUCCUUUUUAAUGGUCUGGAUGUUCCACCAAUGAUGCUUCCUUUUUCCUGAAAUUCUACUGUCUGUUAGCUGUUCCUGGCAGUUCCCAUUUCUAACAGGUGUUGAAUACCAAACUAGUGAGAGCAAGUCAUAGGAGCAAGUCUGAGAAAAGUAACAUGAUGUAUGCUUUCUAUGUAAGAAGAUAUGAAAUAUUAACUGGAACUUAUUGAAGAGACAGCUGCUUUCUCAGAGGGAGGGCCAUCCAGGGCUGACUAGUUCACUGAGAAACAACAUUUCAGCAUAAGAAUUAACUAUCUUCUUGUUUGCUGUAUCAAGGCUCUGA